rnacentral:rRNA from 1 species
GACGAACGCUGGCGGCGUGCUUAACACAUGCAGGUCGAACGGAAAGGCCUGCUUUCCCUUGUGGAUUGCGGGUACUCGAGUGGCGAACGGGUGAGUAACACGUGAGUGAUCUGCCCCCAACUUGGGUAUAAGCCUGGGAAACUGGGUCUAAUUCCCGAUAGGACUGCAGGGUGGUGCCUGUGGUGGAAAACGAUUUUCUAGUGGUUGGGGAUGAGCUCGCGGCCUAUCAGCUUGUUGGUGGGGUAAUGGCCUACCAAGGCGGCGACGGGUAGCCGGCCUGAGGGGGUGGACGGCCACAUUGGGACUGAGAUACGGCCCAGACUCCUACGGGAGGCAGCAGUGGGGAAUAUUGCACAAUGGGCGGAAGCCUGAUGCAGCGACGCCGCGUGGGGGAUGACGGCCUUCGGGUUGUAAACUCCUUUCGACCGCGAGGAAGCCACCUGGUUGGAAGGGUGGUGACGGUAGUGGUAGAAGAAGCACCGGCUAACUACGUG